rnacentral:misc_RNA from 1 species
AAGUCGUAACAAGGUAACCGUAGGUGAACCUGCGGUUGGAUCAUUACAAAUAAUCUCAUGGGUCUUUUGUUUGGAUAAAGGUCUCCUUUAUCUUGCAAACAUUCCCACAACCUUUUGUGCACUCUGUCACUGUUUAUUUGGAGUCUUUUUUUCUCCUCUCUUUUUGGGAGGGUCUUAAGGCUUUCUUAUUUAAAGACACCUUCUUCAUGAAUUUCCAACCAAAACUUUUUCUUUGUUUACCAGAGAAAAAACACAAAAAAAAAACAACUUUUGACAACGGAUCUCUUGGCUCUC